UAGUGGCGAACGGGUGAGUAACACGUGGGCAAUCUGCCCUGCACUCUGGGACAAGCCCUGGAAACGGGGUCUAAUACCGGAUACUCACUGCCUUGGGCAUCCUUGGCGGUGGAAAGCUCCGGCGGUGCAGGAUGAGCCCGCGGCCUAUCAGCUAGUUGGUGAGGUAAUGGCUCACCAAGGCGACGACGGGUAGCCGGCCUGAGAGGGCGACCGGCCACACUGGGACUGAGACACGGCCCAGACUCCUACGGGAGGCAGCAGUGGGGAAUAUUGCACAAUGGGCGAAAGCCUGAUGCAGCGACGCCGCGUGAGGGAUGACGGCCUUCGGGUUGUAAACCUCUUUCAGCAGGGAAGAAGCGAGAGUGACGGUACCUGCAGAAGAAGCGCCGGCUAACUACGUGCCAGCAGCCGCGGUAAUACGUAGGGCGCAAGCGUUGUCCGGAAUUAUUGGGCGUAAAGAGCUCGUAGGCGGCUUGUCACGUCGGUUGUGAAAGCCCGGGGCUUAACCCCGGGUCUGCAGUCGAUACGGGCAGGCUAGAGUUCGGUAGGGGAGAUCGGAAUUCCU
rnacentral:rRNA from 1 species